UGCCUUCUCCCCCUCCACUGUCUUGAGCAAAGGAGCUGGGAACCGUCCUGAAAGAGAGCGCGUGGGCAGAGAGAGAUCGAGGAGAGAUAAUCCGUCUCCGUCGUUGAUUCAUGCGUGCGCCGGCGUCGAGUUCUUAGGGCCAGGACAGGAAGCUUUGCCACGUCUUCGGUAACGUGUCCGUAGCCUUCACGAGAGGGGAGUACCACCAGGUCACCGAUGAUUUCUCACCGGAGCCACCAAGCCGUCGUCUACCGUGGCUAGCUCGAGCCAUCGUAAUUCGUCACCGAAGCGAGAUGACGAG
rnacentral:lncRNA from 7 species